AUUGAACGCUGGCGGCAUGCUUUACACAUGCAAGUCGAACGGUAACAGGGUGCUUGCACCGCUGACGAGUGGCGAACGGGUGAGUAAUGCGUCGGAACGUGCCGAGUAGUGGGGGAUAACGCAGCGAAAGUUGUGCUAAUACCGCAUACGUACUGGGGUAGAAAGUGGGGGACCUUCGGGCCUUGCGCUAUCAAAUGAGCCUAGGUGGGAUUAGCUAGUUGGUGAGGUAAUGGCUCACCAAGGCGACGAUCCGUGACUGGUCUGAGAGGAUGAUGAGUCACACUGGAACUGAGACACGGUCCAGACUCCUACGGGAGGCAGCAGUGGGGAAUAUUGGACAAUGGGCGAAAGCCUGAUCCAGCCAUGCCACGUGUGUGAAGAAGGUCUUCGGAUUGUAAAGCACUUUAAGUUGGGAGGAAGGGUCGUUGAUUAAUACUCUGCAAUUUUGACGUUACCGACAGAAUAAGCACCGGCUAACUCUGUGCCAGCCGCCGCGGUAAUAC
rnacentral:rRNA from 1 species